rnacentral:lncRNA from 1 species
CCCGCUGCGGGCUCCAGCCGCGCGGUUCGCCCGCUGGAACCCUGAGCGGCCGCCGUCCCCUCCCUCGGCCGCCGCAGCCUGCCCUCCGCGGGGUGCGGGGCAGCGAGAGGCGGUCACCGCCUGGUGCCCCGGGAGCACUUUGGCCUGGAGGCUGGUCUUGUUCCGGAAGUGUGUGGGCUCCGCUGGCGUGAACUGUGCGAAGGGAGCUCCUGAUGAGGAGCCGGCAGGAACCGGGAGGAGCACUCCGGGGUGGAUCCUCAGGGCCCUCGCGGCGGCCCCGGGCACGUAGCCCUCCCUGCACGCAAGGGGAGUGGUGCACCUCGCAGGCCUGCUCACCCGAUGAACAGCAGCUCGAAAGAGACCCCCACAGUGCCUGCCUAUGCGCCCACCGGUCCGGGACCUACUUGCGGGGACCCGGGGUCGGAAGCAGGGAGGGGUCAGGUUAUGCUCUGCCUGGGUCCCGCUGGUCUCAGGGGCUGACUGUACCACGGAAGGCAGCAGGCCUGGGCGUGUGCCAGGAUCCUGCAAACCCGGCAAAGGUCCUGGAGGACAGUGACCCGCACGGGGCCCUCCUCACAGGGCCCAGGGCUACGAGGAGGAGGAAGAAGAAACCCAAACAGACCUACAGUGAUGCUGGCAUUUUCCCUGGCUUCCACCGGACCACAGAUGAGUUUCCACAGACGUUUUAUAACCAUUUACAUGUGAUGAAUCAAGAACGACACUGAAUAGAGGACAGCCCCUGAGUCAGCUUGGAAACGUUGCCCACAUCCAUAGUCCCAGACCAGUUGUUUUUUUAACCACCAAGGAAUAUUUUCUAAAAAGUGCAGAUUACUAGCGCCUCUCCAGAGACUAGGGUUAGGUGUGUGGGUGAUAUGUUUAGCACCCCUGAGAUAAAUUCUGAUAAUCAGUCUGUUUGGGAACGACUGUUGGAAAUGAACUCCUUGGAAGUAGGGACAUUUUCUCUUUGUCUACCCAGUCCCGGCUAUGUUGCCUGUUUACGUGUUUAAUAAAUGUCUGUUGAGUAAACA